rnacentral:rRNA from 1 species
UACGGAGGGUGCGAGCGUUGUCCGGAAUCAUUGGGCGUAAAGGGUGCGUAGGCGGCGAAGCAAGUCUGAUGUGAAAUCCCGGGGCUCAACCCCGGAACUGCAUUGGAUACUGCUUUGCUAGAGUACUGGAGAGGAGACUGGAAUUUACGGUGUAGCAGUGAAAUGCGUAGAUAUCGUAAGGAAGACCAGUGGCGAAGGCGGCCUGCUGGGCUAUGGCUGACACUGAGGCGCGACAGCGUGGGGAGCAAACAGG